UAAAUCGGAAAACUUUUGAGAAUGUGAAAAACGGAGCCUGGCUGAUUAUCAUCGUUUCUGGCAAACAAAAACAGCAGACCUGGUUGUUUCGCAAAAAUAUAAUUGCUUGAUUUUUAGCAAAAUGUCGGCCGAAAGUGCGCGAUUAAGAAGACCAAGACAUGUUAAAUUCAACAGCGGUGUAUUUAAAAUGUCUGAGCAGCUGUGAGUAACAGCAUGCAAAAUAAAAGUUAAAUUUAUAAAUGUGGCGGGAAACAGCUGUUAUACCUUUCCAACGUUCCGAUAACCAAAUCAGGCUGAGUCAGCUGUUACACGAAAAGACGAAGUGUUGUUGCCCUGAAUUAUUAUUUCAGAGCAAUAUUUAAUUGGUUUAAAAAAAAAUGGAUAAAAAAGUCACAAGCUGCAUAGACGCUUGAUCAGUAUUAAUAGUCGAGUCGAUACAGCUAUGUCUGUCUGUCCGUCUGUGUUGUUGCGUCAGUAUAAUCAUUAAUUUCACACAAAAUUUGCCACGGCUUACAAUUUCAAUGAAACCAGCUGAAGAAUUUAACCCCAUUAGAAGGAAACCAUCAUUAUAAUUUAGAAUCUG